rnacentral:rRNA from 1 species
UACGAAGGUAGCAGUGGGGAAUAUUGCACAAUGGGCGAAAGCCUGAUGCAGCUAUGCCGCGUGUAUGAAGAAGGCCUUAGGGUUGUAAAGUACUUUCAUCGGGGAGGAAAAAACAAAACUAAUAAUUUUAUUUCUUGACGUUACCCGAAAAAGAAGCACCGGCUAACUCCGUGCCAGCAGCCGCGGUAAUACGGAGGGUGCUAGCGUUAAUCAGAAUUACUGGGCGUAAAGAGCACGUAGGUGGUUUUUUUAAGUCAGAUGUGAAAUCCCUGGGCUUAACCUGGAACUGCAUUUUGAAACUGAAAUACUAGAGUAUCGUAGAGGGAGGUAGAAUUCUAGGUGUAGCGGUGAAAUGCGUAGAUAUCUGGAGGAAUACCUGUGGCGAAAGCGGCCUCCUAAACGAAUACUGACACUGAGGUGCGAAAGCGUGGGGAGCAAACAGGGAUUAGAUACC